rnacentral:rRNA from 1 species
UGAGGAAUUUUGCGCAAUGGGAGCAAUCCUGACGCAGCAACGCCGCGUGGAUGAAGAAGGCCGCAAGGUUGUAAAAUCCUUUUGCUGGGGAAGAAUAAGCGCAGGAGGGAAUGCCUGCGUGAUGACAUGAACCGGUGGAUAAGCCCCGGCCAACUACGUGCCAGCAGCCGCGGUAACACGUAGGGGGCAAGCGUUGUUCGGAAUUACUGGGCGUAAAGGGCAUGUAGGCGGUUUAGUAAGCUUGGCGUGAAAGACCACGGCUUAACUGUGGGGUUGCGUUGAGAACUGCUGAACUUGAGUUACGGAGAGGGAGCUAGAAUUCCUGGUGUAGGGGUGGAAUCUGUAGAGAUCAGGAAGAAUACCGAUGGCGAAGGCAAGCUUCUGGCCGAUAACUGACGCUGAGGUGCGAAAGUGUGGGGAUCAAACA